GCGGGUAUGGCGCUUCCCGGCCAGCCGGAUCGGAACGGAGCAAGGGGACGCGGGAGGACACGGGAGACGGAGCUAGAGCUGAGCCUGCAGAGGUCAUUCGAUUACCGGAAAGAGCCACGGGGAGUAUCGGGGCUCGGUGCUGGCUUGCCCGAAGGGAGCAGCGGCACCUUCCUGGAGAGGUGCGGAGCUUAACUUCCAAAUGGGAGAGAACCUGAGCACUCCCUGCGCCUCUGUGGGCAACAGAAACCUCGAAGGGAGAAGGUCAGCGGUGGGCUCUGAGGUGACGAUAGCUCAUUCCGCUCCAGAAACGUCGGGAAUGGUGUCCCAGUCACCUGCUACGCAGCAGCCCCAGGGAUUUCCCAAAAGACGGCUUGCCUUCGGACACUGAGGAGUGAGCCCUGUACUCCUGGUACCGGUUCUGCGCACCAACCGAUGCGCGAGGAGUGCUGAUGAUCCUGUCCCUUCUCUCUCUCCUGCUUAGGAAGAGCCCUUCUCCCGACCCUGGAAGGCCCUGGCACAGCUCGCCGAUCUCCGUGUUCAGGGGUUUAUGUGGGAAUCAGAGCAGAAUGGAUCGGAAUCGAUAUUUCAUCUUUAACCAGAGGAACAUGGUCGUGCUGGGGAUGUUCCAGAUAGCCUUCAGCACCAUCUGUGUCACCAGUGGGUUCAUAGAUGGAAUUUUCAGAACAGAGUCUCAGCUGGGCAAAACCAGAGCUCCAGUUUGGGCUGGCAUGGUGAUGGGAGUCCCAGGUGUCCUAGCUUUGUUCUCCUCGCAGAGGAAGAAUCCAGUUCUUGUGAAUGUACUGAUAGUUGCUUCCAUAUUCUCUUGUGUUGCCAUCCUCAUUAUAAUAGUUUAUAGCUUCUUCACGCUGAACUAUGGUGAAGAGGAGGAGUUGAGUUCUGCCCCAGUCCAUGUUAUCCAUACUGUAAGUAUUGAUAUCAUGAUUAUUUAUGGGGAACAUGACACCUUAAAUCUGCAAACAGUGCCAGAUGUUGUUGCAGCUGGGUCUAGGGGCCUCUCUGACCCUCAGUUCUGCUGGCAACAAGCCCAGAUAGACGUCCUGGGAAAGAGGAAGCCUGUCUGCUUACAAACAGAACCAGACUUCAGGGUCAGGUUUGGCUGCUUUUGCUUCUUGGUGCAAAGAGGUGGUGUGGGCUGAGCCAUGAAAAAAUACUGGUACUGCUCAGGGAAAGGUGCUGAGAGUAUACCUGGCCUGGUUUGAAACAGUGGUUGCAAGGUUCAAAUCUUCCCAGCAGGCACAUCAGGUGAUAAAAUUACAGCAGUUACAGGGCAGCUGGUUAAACCUGGUCUUAUUUCAAGUGUAUCCUCCACAGUAAAGCUGAAGAGAAGGAAUGAUGCCCUUUUGUAUCUCCAAUCUACAAACAAUUGCUUGCUGUGGGGGUGAAGGUAUUCCAGAUAGAUGAAGCUGGUGAUUAGUUUAUUGAAGUACAAAUCAAAAUGUCAGGCUUCUAUAAGGUGCAGUGCAGCAAGAGGAUGUUUCUCAUAAUCAGUGUGAAGAAGAGCAGCCAUUCCUUGGGUUUUUACUUAUUGUCAAAUGCCAUUGCAUAGCAUCUCACAUUUAAUCAACAGCCUUAUUUCACUGCUUGCUUUAUUUGAGGUUCAUGCUUGGUUUGUUUUUCAGAACACAGAAAAACCUUAAAUAACACUGACUACAAUCAAUCUCCUAUCAUGUGAUCAUAGCAUUCUUGCAGUCAUGAGAUUAUUUUUUGGUGGAGAGCGUCACUUUUUAAAUAUGGCUUUACCGUCUCCUUUUCUGUUUGCAGAGGUUCAUAUUCAAUAAAAUUGUCAAGGGUGCUAACAUAGCCAUGCUGGCUGUAUCCAUCUGCAGUGCCUUUUUUGUACUGGCCAUGGCUUACUUGGGAUGCUGGAGUCUUCCACACUGCUCCUGCUAUGACAGUGUAACUGGGAUGUUACCCCGACGACAGCAGACUGUUGGAGGAGAAGGUUUUACCAGCAGCCAUCAAGAGAAACUAUAGGGGUGGAACUGCCAGCAACAAG